rnacentral:rRNA from 1 species
ACGGCUUGCUGUUCAGUAACGAAGCUAACGCGUGAAGUUGACCGCCUGGGGAGUACGGCCGCAAGGUUGAAACUCAAAGGAAUUGACCGGGGACCCGCACAAGCGGUGGAUGAUGUGGUUUAAUUCGAUGCAACGCGAAAAACCUUACCUACCCUUGACAUGUCUAGAAGUUACCAGAGAUGGUUUCGUGCUCGAAAGAGAACUAGAACACAGGUGCUGCAUGGCCGUCGUCAGCUCGUGUCGUGAGAUGUUGGGUUAAGCCCCGCAACGAGCGCAACCCUUAUCAUUAGUUGCUACGCAAGGGCACUCUAAUGAGACUGCCGGUGACAAACCGGAGGAAGGUGGGGAUGACGUCAGGUCAUCAUGGCCCUUAUGGGUAGGGCUACACACGUCAUACAAUGGCCGGUANCAGAGGGCUGCCAACCCGCGAGGGGGAGCUAAUCUCAGAAAACCGGUCGUAGUCCGGAUCGUAGUCUGCAACUCGACUGCGUGAAGUCGGAAUCGCUAGUAAUCGCGGAUCAGCUUGCCGCGGUGAAUACGUUCCCGGGUCUUGUACACACCGCCCGUCACACCAUGGGAGCGGGUUCUGCCAGAAGUAGUUAGCCUAACCGCAAGGAGGGCGAUUACCACGGCAGGGUUCGUGACUGGGGUGAAGUCGUAANCAAGGUACC